GAGUUUGAUCAUGGCUCAGGACGAACGCUGGCGGCGUGCUUAACACAUGCAAGUCGAACGGUGAAGCUCCAAGCUUGCUUGGGGUGGAUCAGUGGCGAACGGGUGAGUAACACGUGAGCAACCUGCCCCAGACUCCGGAAUAAGCGCUGGAAACGGCGUCUAAUACUGGAUAUGAGAUCAGUCCGCAUGGGCAUGGUCUGGAAAGUUUUUCAGUCUGGAUGGGCUCGCGGCCUAUCAGCUUGUUGGUGAGGUAAUGGCUCACCAAGGCGACGACGGGUAGCCGGCCUGAGAGGGCGACCGGCCACACUGGGACUGAGACACGGCCCAGACUCCUACGGGAGGCAGCAGUGGGGAAUAUUGCACAAUGGGCGAAAGCCUGAUGCAGCGACGCCGCGUGAGGGAUGACGGCCUUCGGGUUGUAAACCUCUUUCAGCAGGGAAGAAGCGAAAGUGACGGUACCUGCAGAAGAAGCACCGGCUAACUACGUGCCAGCAGCCGCGGUAAUACGUAGGGUGCGAGCGUUGUCCGGAAUUAUUGGGCGUAAAGGGCUUGUAGGCGGUU
rnacentral:rRNA from 1 species